CUAUCCAGUCCGGUUCGAUAUUCCAGUUUUCCGAUACCAAUAUAGAGGCCAAAGGCCCAAAGUAUAAGUGGCGCUGUCCAAUGUGUCAGCGGCUCUCCCAUCGUGGACCCACGAAUCCCACAUAUCGCGGACCCUUUACUCCCAAAUCUCCGUCUAUGCACACCACAACAGAGUCCUAUAAAGAAAUUCUGUAUAUCCCCAAAAAGCCCUCCGAGUCUCUUCAAAUUUUCAGUUCCUACCCUCAAUGCUCCGUUGCUCAUCCGACACUACUUCUCUGCCCCUAUUUUCCUUGUCUCUCACUCUCCCAGCAACCAGGAAUUGGUGGAGCCGGUGACGCCCGACUACAACGAGGAGAGAGUCGAGCAAUGUUGACGGGUCAUGGCGGUUGAACUUCGACGGUUUCCAGGUGUCCUCAGAGAGCACAAGGAGAAAAGACUUCCCUGUGGCCUCCAUGACUGCCUGGGGGUUUUAGGAAGAGCAGGAAAAGUUGGCAAAAAGUGAGACAUAUGCCAUCAGAAUAUCAAAUAUGGUUCUUUUUGCAGCUAAAGUUUAUGCAUCUCUCAGAAGUGGUUCAUUAGCCAUCGUUGCAUCCACAUUGGACUCAUUGCUCGAUCUUUUGUCUGGCUUCAUCCUGUGGUUUACUACAUUCUCCAUGCAAACCCCUAACCCAUAUCAGUACCCUAUUGGGAAGAAACGUAUGCAGCUCUUGGUAUGUCUCUGUACUAUUCUCGACAGUAAUUAUAGCCAUUGGAAUCCGCUUAUAGUGUUUUCUAUGUUUACACAGUUGUGUUGCCUUCAAAGUCACACAUCACGACCUUUCUUUAUCUUAAUGCUUUUGUGGGGAUAUGCAUUACUGAUAUAUGAUAUCAUAGGUUUACUCCCCUAUCAUGGUUGCUAUAUGUUUAGUUGUGCAGCUUGAAUAGUGGUAUCCAAUCUCAACUGUUAAUGGGCUUGGGGUUCACCCAUAAGUGGAGCCGUUGACUGUUGAGAUUGAAUAUCGUUUCUAUUUUCGUUUCUCUUUUGGGAAUGAAGAUGGAAGGUUCCACCCCAAAACCAAUUGGCAAUGGGGGGAGUAGCCCAACUCCUUAUAAACUCAGGCUUGGUCGCUUAACUUUUCAAUGUGGGACAAAUACUCUCAACACGCCCCCGCACGUGUGGCGAACUUUCAAGCCUAAGACGUGGACAACACAUAUUGGGUGACGUGGGAGCACGUGUGGCUGUUGAGCCCAACACGUAAAGCCUUGCUCUGAUACCAUGAAGGAAGUUGAGGUUCCACCCCAGAACCAAUUGGCAAUGGGGGGAGUAGCCCAACUCCUUAUAAACCCAGGCUUGGUCCCUUAACUUUUCAAUGUGGGACAAAUACUCUCAACAGGAAGUCACUGAAGUGAUUGUUGAGACUGCUGAGACGGAGUCAGGAUUCACUAUGUUUCCAAUGAACAUGGGCUUGAAGGGGAGAUUCGUGUGUACCCCAGCACUGAAUUUCCUGAAUUGCGGUUUUCCAAGCCUGGAAAAAGAUGGUUGAGUUGAGACAGCAAAUUUCCGGCACAGAAACAGUUCAAGAAGUUGAGCUGGUGCAGGGAAGAGGACACCCUGGCCAGAAGAGUUGGAUACUUAGAUUGAGAGGAAUUGAAACAGGUAACGAGGCUGGGCAGCUUAUUGGCUUCAACCUUUACUUGUGAGGGAAGAGUUGGAGGAAGGCCGAAUUCUUUAGCCGUGAUCUUGUCGGGAUGAUAGUAAUUCUUAAGUCACUGAAGAGAUUGUCUGAAGAGAUUGUUGAGACUGCUGAGACGGAGUCAGGAUUCACUAUGUUUCCAAUGUCCAUGGGCUUGAAGGGGUGAUUCGUGUGUAACCCAGCACUGAAUUUACUGAAUUUUGGUUUUCCAAGCCUGGAAAAAGAUGGUUGAGUUGAGACAGCAAAUUUCCGGCAGAGAAACAGUUGAAGAAGUUGAGCUGGUGCAGGGAAGAGGACACCCUGGCCAGAAGAGUUGGAUACUUAGAUUGAGAGGAAUUGAAACAGUGGACGAGGCUAGGCAGCCUAUUGGCUUCAACCUAUACUUGUGAGGGAAGAGUUGGAGGAAGGCCGAAUUCUUUACUCGUGACCUUGUCGGGAUGAUAGUAAUUCUUAAGGUUUGUGUUGGUAAUGUAUUAUAAUUACGUCUAAUUUCAUUUGUAUCCCUGAGAUCCGCUAGAUAAACAUUGGUAUCAUAAUAUCAUGUCCAUGGGCUUCAAGGGGAGAUUCAAACUUUCUCUGUGGUUAAUAAAAGCUCGUUCAUUUUAUCGUUUAGAAAAAGCAUCAUGUUAUUUUAUCUGCCAUGCAUCAAUGAAGAAGAAGCGAAAUAUUGAAUGACUUUGGACAUCUAGUCUAUAAUAGAUUCAUCAGUACAGCCAAAGCUUUUCAAUCUUGUAUCACUGGUAAAACUGCUUGCUGACCAAUUAUUCAGUUACGUUGCAUGUAUGAUGUAUUUCAUAAUCGUAAAAUUCUGAUUCCAUGGCCUAAGAGUGUUCCUAUAUGAUUUAUUGCCUUUGCUAAAUACCACCAGUUCAUUUUCUAGUGUGGUGUUACUCUUGCUUUAGUGCUACUGGCUAUUAACACGGUUUUGCAGAAAACUGAUUUCUGUCU